rnacentral:rRNA from 1 species
AACGAACGCUGGCGGCAUGCCUAACACAUGCAAGUCGAACGAGACCUUCGGGUCUAGUGGCGCACGGGUGCGUAACGCGUGGGAACCUGCCCUUAGGUUCGGAAUAACUCCCCGAAAGGGGUGCUAAUACCGGAUAAUGUCUUCGGACCAAAGAUUUAUCGCCUUUGGAUGGGCCCGCGUUGGAUUAGCUAGUUGGUAGGGUAAAAGCCUACCAAGGCGACGAUCCAUAGCUGGUCUGAGAGGAUGAUCAGCCACACUGGGACUGAGACACGGCCCAGACUCCUACGGAAGGCAGCAGUGGGGAAUAUGGGACAAUGGGCGAAAGCCUGAUCCAGCAAGGCCGCGUGAGUGAUGAAGGCCUUAGGGUUGUAAAGCUCUUUUACCCGGGAUGAUAAUGACAGUACCGGGAGAAUAAGCUCCGGCUAACUCCGU